UGGGUGUGGCUUAGUGGUAGAGCGCCUGCCUAGCAUGUACAAGGCUCUGGGGUCCAUCCCCAACACUGCAA
rnacentral:tRNA from 1 species